AGAUUGGGGGGCUGGGGGCUGGAGGGAUUAGAGGGUGGCAGAUAGAGAAUCGGGUUCGCUCCUGACUUGAGACCUCUCUCUCUCUGAUCCCCCUCUGGUCUGGCAGGGCCUGGGCCUCCCAGCAGGGACAGAGCUCAGUGGCUCCCUGAAGACCGAAGGUGGGGAAGCAGAGGUGUCCGGGGCCCUCGCAUGGGCUGGCCAGACCGCCUCCCUGACCUUGGCGGCGGCCGUGCACCAGUCCGAGGCCACACUCCGAGUGAAGCUAAGUCACGCGCUGCCGGCACUGCAGACCGUCCCCCCAGAGGCCUUGCUGACCGUCCAGCUUGGGUGGGAGGCCGGGCACCGGCUGGGUCUGGAGCUACAGGUGGGGGCCUGUGAGCUGCAGGGCAGUGGUGAGCUGCACCUGGACCGUGGGCUACAGUGGCAGGUGCUCGCCCAGAGCUCCUGUGAGGCCCUGCAGGCCCUGGGGGUCCCGGGCCGAGUCAACAGCUCCGGGACCGUCGCCGUGAACUCUGUGGCUGUGGACGCCUGGGUCCUGGUCACCAUCAACAACAGCACACUGCAGGGGCUACUCAUCCUCAAGACUACGGAGAGCCAGCAGGAGGUGGAUAUGUUGCUCACACACGGCCCGCCCCAGCCCAGCCCCUCGGGCCUCCCCGCCCGGGUGCUGCUGGAGCUGCCCACCGAGAGCCACGGACCUGGCUACAGACACGCCCUGCGGGUUGGACUGGACGGCAGACAGGUGUCCGAGGAGCUGACGUUCACUCGGCGGCCAGAGCGCAUCUCCCUGGACUACACCCUCGAGCACAACAUCCCCGUGCUGCGGACACUGUGGGUGGAGGACAAGCUGGGCC
rnacentral:lncRNA from 1 species